rnacentral:lncRNA from 1 species
UUAUAAUGAUUAUAUAUAUAUAUUAAUAGUAAAAUGUUCUUUUUGCUAUCAAAAUUUUAACUUUUGAAUGAAAAAUUAUAAGGUCAGAAUGAUAUUAGUCGGUUAGAGUUGAGUGGUCCCCCUAAGAUUGAGUGGUUCUUACUGGGUUAUACUAUUUAAUCCAAUGGUUAGAAAUAAUGAAAAGAGUUGAUCCAAAGGUUAAAAAACUGGUAGCAACAAUGGAAUUUUGCUACUAAUAGUAGCCCAGUCCAACUCUAUAUAUAUAUAUAUAUAUAUAUAUAUAUAUA